GGGGAUUUAGCUCAGCGGCAUAAGCGCCUGCCUUGCAAGCAGGCAGUCCCAUGAGUUCGAUCCCCA
rfam:Cavia porcellus supercont2_53 genomic scaffold, whole genome shotgun sequence.